CACUCCUGCGGGAGGCAGCAGUGGGGAAUAUUGGACAAUGGGCGCAAGCCUGAUCCAGCCAUGCCGCGUGAGUGAUGAAGGCCCUAGGGUUGUAAAGCUCUUUCACCGGUGAAGAUAAUGACGGUAACCGGAGAAGAAGCCCCGGCUAACUUCGUGCCAGCAGCCGCGGUAAUACGAAGGGGGCUAGCGUUGUUCGGAUUUACUGGGCGUAAAGCGCACGUAGGCGGACUAUUAAGUCAGGGGUGAAAUCCCGGGGCUCAACCCCGGAACUGCCUUUGAUACUGGUAUUCUUGAGUUCGAGAGAGGUGAGUGGAAUUCCGAGUGUAGAGGUGAAAUUCGUAGAUAUUCGGAGGAACACCAGUGGCGAAGGCGGCUCACUGGCUCGAUACUGACGCUGAGGUGCGAAAGCGUGGGGAGCAAACAGGAUUAGAAACCCUGGUAGUCC
rnacentral:rRNA from 1 species